AGAGUGAGAGUGAGUUUGGGUUGAACGUGGCAGAUCUUUUCUCUUACGUGGGAUCUGUUGGGUGAUUUUAUAUAUAUUUGAUGUGAGAAAAGAACAAGAUGAUCCAACCUAGUUCUUGAGGAUCGAGCUAUGUUGCCGAGGAAUCCGGGGACAGGUCAAAGAAGAAUACUGAAACACUCUUCAUUCGAUCUACAUUAUCUCAAUAAACAAUAUCAACUAUCAAAAUCCUGUCAAUGCUGUCGCCUCAAUUUUCAAAACCUCUACUCCUUCUUACUAUAGCUACUCCUUUCUAUCACACAUACCCUACACCUUUCUAUCUACAAUAAUACAAUGAAACUCAUCAUACCGGCUUUCUUUCUAUUUCUCAUGUUUACCUUCAAUGUCUUUUAUGUUUUUCAAGGGGAAGCACUUAUCAGCCAAGGAGUUCCACCUUCUGGGAGUUCUGCAACUAUUACAGGUGGCUGCGAAAAGCAAAGGAGUGAAUGCAAGGAAGAAAGAAGUGGGUGGGAAGAAAGUGUAUUAGAGAAUGAAGAUUAUGUGUAUACCAACUCCUUACCUUAGAUGUUAAAGUUUAGCUUCGUUGCUUGUCUUGUAGUAAGAGGAAUUCUUCUGCGAGAUAAUGUGUUCAUGUCCAAAUGUAAAGGAUCUAUAGCUUUUUAUUUAUGGUUUACCGGUUUAUAACGAUGUUGUUUCUUUCGCAUUUAGACAUUUCUUGCUGUUGAGUGGUAUUUGAUUAGUAUAGCUCUACGUCUUCUCGAUUGGAGUUGGCUCAUUCAGAUACUUGCAACAUUUUUCACUGCGAAGUAAAAUUUAUGAGUAUGAGUGUAUGACUGCAUGAGAUUUCUCCAUAA